rnacentral:rRNA from 1 species
AGUGAACGCUGGCGGUAGGCCUAACACAUGCAAGUCGAACGGCAGCACAGUAAGAGCUUGCGGUUACGGGUGGCGAGUGGCGGACGGGUGCGGAAUACAUCGGAAUCUACUUUUUCGUGGGGAUAACGAAGGGAAACUUACGCUCAUACCGCAUACGACCUACGGGUGAAAGCAGUGGAUCUUCGGACCUUGCGCUAAUGAAUGAUCCGAUGUCGGAUUAGCUAGUUGGCGGGGUAAAGGCCCACCAAGGCGACGAUCCGUAGCUGGUCUGAGAGGAUGAUCAGUCACACUGGAACUGAGACACGGUCCAGACUCCUACGGGAGGCAGCAGUGGGGAAUAUUGGACAAUGGGCGAAAGCCUGAUCCAGCCAUACCGCGUGGGUGAAGAAGGCCUUCGGGUUGUAAAGCCCUUUUGUUGGGGAAGAAAAGCAGCAGGUUAAUACCCCGCUGUUCUGACGGUACCCAAAGAAUAAGCACCGGCUAACUUCGUG